UUAUCUGAAGACGAAAUUUUAUUCAAGAGCAAACAAUGGGGCCAAAAAGUUAAGUUUUCUUUUUUUUUGCAAACAUUUAUUUAUUUUACAAUUGUUGCUCAAUGGCAUAAUGGUAAACGCAAGGCGUGUGGCGUGCGGUGUACGGAGUACGGCUUUCGAGACAAAAUCGCCCUGAAGUGAACAUUUAUAAGCAUCUGAAAAAGAUUUAUUAGAUUUUAGACAAAAACCAAGGAAGAGAUAAUCGAAUGGGAGUUUUAUUUCAAUCGUUUAUCACUUCUACGUGUACGUCGGAUAGCAGUUAUCGACCAAAAGCCAAUGUUAAUUGUUAGUGUUUAUAGACGAAACCCUUGCUGUAAUUUAUCAAUUUAUCCAUCUACCCAUUUAAUAGAAAUGAUUUUUUAAUGAUCCUUCCAUAAUGAUCUUUGGCUGGUGGUGCCUUUGUUUGGUCUACUAUGCUGUUAGCCGGUGUGCUCGAGUUUUUAUUGAUUUCCAUCGUCAUCUCCUAUUCCUUUUAUAAUUUUAGUGUUGCACAUUCAUGAGUCUGGUGUUUUGUUGGCUGUGUGUGUGUGUUUUUUUUUUGCCAUCAUUUGUAUGAUCUCCUCAGUUGGACGGUUGGAACAGCAUUGCCCCCUUAAGGUAUCAAUCAAAAUAUGCGCCCGACAAUUCUGGCACAGGCCAAAACAAAACGUAUGCAAGUGAAGACGAGCAGUAGAUUGAGGGCGCAACGAACGAAAACGGCCCUGGUGAUGGACACAAUGAUUAUGGAGUGUGACUGCGGACAGAAAAAGCAAAAACAUUCACUAAAAGCAGGCCAAAGAACUUAAUCGAAAUAUACACUUUUUAUGAGACCAAAGAAUGUUCAUUGCACCCUCGCAACAGAUACAGUGAGAAGUCUGGCCAAAUGUAAUUAGGGAAGAGUUUCAGGGGAUCCGUCGCCGUGUGGAUAUCAAACGGGCAAGGAAAAAGUUUGUUGCCAACUCACUUCAAUGGCCUCGCUAGUGCUCAAAAUUAUAUGAAUUUAUAUUUUGUUAAGCCACUAAUGAAGUUGAGUUGAAUAUUCUACCACCCCACAGUGUCGUUAGUU